GGGGCUGUCAAUAUUCAUAGGUGCUAGGG
rnacentral:piRNA from 1 species